rnacentral:lncRNA from 1 species
GUUUUUUUUUGCCUAUUUCAGAGUUUCGCAGAAAAAGAAUAUCAAACGGAGUCCAAACGGAAUGAAACCUUCGGGAACGUGAUUUUCGGAACGAACGUGAUCCAGAGGACUUGGACCCUACGUCAAGACAUCAACCAGGAAGGCACGAGGUAGGGGGCGCGCCCUCCACCCUCGUGGGCCCCACGUUGCUCCACCGACGUACUUCUUCCUCCUAUAUAUACCUACGUACCCCCAAAGUACCAGAUACGGAGCCAAAAUCUAAUUCCACCGCCGCAACCUUCUAUACCCGUGAGAUCCCAUCUUGGGGCCUUUUCCGGAGCUCCGUCGGAGGGGGCAUCGAUCACGGAGGGCUUCUACAUCAACACUAUAGCCUCUCCGAUGAUGUGUGAGUAGUUUACUUCAGAUCUUCGGGUCCAUAUUUAUUAGCUAGAUGGCUUCUUCUCUCUUUUUGGAUCUCAAUAAAAUGUUCUCCCCCUCUCUCAUGGAGAUCUAUUCGAUGUAAUCUUCUUUUGCGGUGUGUUUGUUGAGACCGAUGAAUUGUGGGUUUAUAAUCAAGUUUAUCUAUGAACAAUAUUUUGAAUUUUCUCUGAAUUCUUCUAUGUAUGAUUGGUUAUCUUUGCAAGUCUCUUCGAAUUAUCAGUUUGGUUUGGCCUACUAGAUUGAUCUUUCUUGCAAUAGGAGAAGUGCUUAGCUUUGGGUUCAAUCUUGCGGUGUCCUUUCCCAGUGACAGUAGGGGCAGCAAGGCACGUAUUGUAUUGGUGCCAUCGAGGCUAACAAGAUGGGGUUUAUAUCAUAUUGCAUGAGUUUAUCCCUCUACAUCAUGUCAUCUUACUUAAAGCGUUACUCUGUUCUUAUGAAUUUAAUAGUCUAGAUGCAUGCUGGAUAGCGGUCGGUGUGUGGAGUAAUAGUAGUAGAUGCAGGCAGGAGUCGGUCUACUUGUCUCGGACGUGAUGCCUAUAUACAUGAUCAUACCUAGAUAUUCUCAUACCUAUGCUCAAUUCUGUCAAUUGCUCAACAGUAAUUUGUUCACCCGCCGUAAUACUUAUGCUCUCGAGAGAAGCCACUAGUGAAACCUAUGGCAUCGGGGUCUAUUUUCUAUCAUAUUAAUCUUCCAACACUUAGCUAUUUUCUAUCAUAUUAAUCUUCCAACACUUAGCUAUUUUUAUUGCCUUUUAUUUUACUUUGCAUCUUUAUCAUAAAAAUACCAAAAAUAUUAUCUUCUCAUAUCUACCAGAUCUCACUCUCGUAGGUGACCGUGAAGGGAUUGACAACCCCUUUAUUGCGUUGGUUGCGAGGAUUUAUUUGUUUGUGUUGGUGCGAGGGACUCGUGCGUGGCCUCCUACUGGAUUGAUACCUUGGUUCUCAAAAACUGAGGGAAAUACUUACGCUGCUUUACUGCAUCACCCUUUCCUCUUAACCAACGCAGUGCUCAAGAGGUAGCAAGAAGGAUUUCUGGCGCCGUUGCCGGGGAGUCUCUGCAAAAGUCAACAUACCAAGUACCCAUCACAAACCCUUAUCUCCCGCAUUACAUUAUUUGCCAUUUGCCUCUCGUUUUGCUCUCCCCCACUUCACCCUUGCCGUUUUAUUCGCCCUCUCUUUUCCGUUCGCCUCUUUUUCGCUCGCUUCUUGUUUGCUCGUGUGUUGGGUUGCUUGCUUGCGCGAUGGCUCAAGAUAAUACUAAAUUGUGUGACUUCACCAAUACCAACAACAAUGAUUUCCUUAGCACUCCGAUUGCUCCUCUUACCGAUACUGAAUCUUGUGAAAUUAAUGCUGCUUUGUUGAAUCUUGUCAUGAAAGAUCAAUUCGCCGGCCUUCCUAGUGAAGAUGCCGCUACCCAUCUAAAUGGCUUCGUUGAUUUGUGUGAUAUGCAAAAGAAGAAAGAUGUGGACAAUGAUAUUGUUAAAUUGAAACUAUUUCCUUUUUCACUUAGAGAUCGUGCUAAAGCUUGGUUUUCGUCUUUGCCUAAAAAUAGUAUUGAUUCAUGAAAUAAGUGCAAAGAUGCUUUUAUCUCUAAGUAUUUUCCUCCCGCUAAAAUCAUCUCUCUUAGAAACGACAUCAUGAAUUUUAAGCAACUUGAUCAUGAACAUGUUGCACAAUCUUGGGAGAGGAUGAAAUUAAUGAUACGUAAUUGCCCUACACAUGGUUUGAAUUUGUGGAUGAUUAUACAAAAUUUUUAUGCCAGAUUGAAUUUUGCUUCUAGAAAUCUUUUAGAUUCGGCCGUGGGAGGCACUUUUAUGGAAAUCACUUUAGGAGAAGCUACUAAACUCCUAGAUAAUAUUAUGGUUAAUUAUUCUCAAUGGCACACUGAAAGAUCUACUAAUAAAAAAGUGCAUGCAAUAGAAGAAAUUAAUGUUUUGAGUGGAAAGAUGGAUGAACUUAUAAAAUUAUUUGCUACUAAAAGUGUUUCUUCUGAUCCUAAUGAUAUGCCUUUAUCUACUUUGAUUGAGAAUAGUAAUGAAUCUAUGGAUGUGAAUUUUGUUGGUAGGAAUAAUUUUGGUAACAACGCGUAUAGAGGAAACUUUAAUCCUAGGCCGUACCCUAGUAAUUCCUCUAAUAAUUAUGGUAAUUCUUACAACAACUCUUAUGUAAAUUUUAAUAAGAGGCCCUCUGAAUUUGAGACUAGUGUUAAGGAGUUUAUGAAUUCGCAAAAGAAUUUCAAUGCUUUGCUUGAAGAAAAAUUGCUUAAAGUUGAUGAAUUCGCUAGGAACGUUGAUAGAAUUUCUCUUGAUGUUGAUUCCUUGAAACUUUGAUCUAUCCCACCUAAGAAUGAUAUCAAUGAGUCUCUCAAAGCCAUGAGAAUUUCCAUUGAUGAGUGCAAAUAAAGAACCGCUAGGAUGCGUGCUAAGAAAGAUUGCUUUGUAAAAGCGUGUUCUUCUAGUUUCUAUGAAAAUAAAGAUGAAGAUCUAAAAGUUAUUGAUGUGUCCCCUAUUAAAUCUUUGUUUCGCAAUAUGAAUCUUGAUAAUGAUGGGACUGAAUAUGAUCCACCUUUACCUAGGAGGCGUUCCAAAAAUUCAGAGUUUUUAGAUCUUGAUGCUAAAAUUGAUAAAAGUGAGAUUGAAGAAGUUAAACCUUUAGAUCUCAAUGAACCCACUACUUUGGAUUUCAAGGAAUUUAAUUAUGAUAAUUUCUCUUUGAAAGAUUGUAUUUCCUUGUUGCAAUCCAUGCUAAAUUCCCCACAUGCUUAUAGUCAACAUAAAGCUUUUACUAAACAUAUCGUUGAUGCUUUGAUGCAAUCUUAUGAAGAAAAACUUGAGUUGGAAGUUUCUAUCCCUAGAAAACUUUAUGAUGAGUGGGAACCUACUAUUAAAAUUAAAAUUAAAGAUCAUGAAUGCUAUUCUUUGUGUGAUUUGGGUGCUAGUGUUUCCACGAUCCCAAAAACUUUGUGCGAUUUGCUUGGUUUCCAUGAUUUUGAUGAUUGCUCUCUAAACUUACACCUUGCGGAUUCCACCAUUAAGAAACCUAUGGGAAGAAUUAAUGAUGUUCUUAUUGUUCCAAAUAGGAAUUAUGUGCCCGUAGAUUUUAUUGUUCUUGAUAUAGAUUGCAAUCCUUCAUGUCCUAUUAUUCUUGGUAGACCUUUCCCUAGAACGAUUGGUGCAAUUAUUGAUAUGAAGGAAGGGAAUAUUAGAUUCCAAUUUCCGUUAAGGAAAGGCAUGGAACAAUUACCUAGAAAUAAAAUAAAAUUACCUUAUGAAUCUAUUAUGAGAGCCACGUAUGGAUUGCCUACCAAAGAUGGCAAUUCCUAGAUCUAUCCUUGCUAUUAUGCCUAGCUAGGGGCGUUAAACGAUAGCGCUUGUUGUGAGGCAACCCAAUUUUAUUUUUAGUUUUUUUGAUUUUUGCUUCUGUUUAGGAAUAAAUAUUUGAUCUAGCCUCUAGUUAGAUUUGUUUUUAUGUUUUAAUUACUGUUUGUGCCAAGUUUAACCUAUAGGAUCUUCUUGGAUGAUAGUUAUUUGAUCUUGCUGAAAAUUCCAGAAACUUUCUGUUCACGAAAAUAAUUGUUAAAAAUCACCAGAACGUGAUAAAAUAUUGAUUCGAAUUGCUGAUGAUCAAUAAACAAAUUGUCUAGGUCUUCCUAUUUUGGCUGAAUUUAUGGAGUUCCAGAAGUUUGCGUUAGUUACAGAUUACUACAGACUCUUCUGUUUUUGACAGAUUCUGUUUUUCUUGUGUUGUUUGCUUAUUUUGAUGAAUCUAUGGCUGGUAAAAUAGUUUAUAAACAAUAGAGAAGUUGGAAUACAGUAGGUUUAACACAAAUAUAAAUAAAGAAUGAGUUCAUUACAGUACCUUGAAGUGGUGUUUUGUUUUCUUUCGCUAACGGAGCUCACGAGAUUUUCUGCUGUGUUUUGUGUUGUGAAGUUUUCAAGUUUUGGGUGAAAGAUUUGAUGGAUUAUGGAACAAGGAGUGGCAAGAGCUUAAGCUUGGGGAUGCCCAAGGCACCCCAAGAUAAUCUAAGGACACCUAAAAUCCAAAGCUUGGGGAUGCCCCGGAAGGCAUCCCCUCUUUCGUCUACUUCCAUCGGUAACUUUACUUGGAGCUAUAUUUUUAUUCACCACAUGAUAUGUGUUUUGCUUGGAGUGUCUUGUAUUAUUUUAGUCUUUGCUUUUUAGUUUACCAUAAUCAUCCUUGCUGUACACACCUUUUGAUGAGAGACACACAUGAUUCAGAAUUUAUUAGAAUACUCUAUGUGCUUCACUUAUAUCUUUUGAGCUAUAUAAUUUUUGCUCUAGUGCUUCACUUAUAUCUUUUAGAGCACGACGGUGGUUUUGUUUUAUAGAAACUAUUAUUCUCUCAUGCUUCACUUAUAUUAUUUUGAGAGUCUUAAACAGCAUGGUAAUUUGCUUAAAUUGGGAAAUUAAUCCUAAUUUGUUAGGAAUUCAAGAUUAGUAAAAAAAACUUUCUUAUGAGUGUGCUGAAUGCUAAGAGAAGUUUGAUGCUUGAUGAUUGUUUUGAGAUAUGGAGGUAGUGAUAUUAAAGUUGUGCUAGUUGAGUAGUUGUGAAUUUGAGAAAUACUUGUGUUGAAGUUUGCAAGUCCCGUAGCAUGCACGUAUGGUAAACGUUAUGUAACAAAUUUGAAGUAUGAGGUGUUCUUUGAUUGUCCUCCUUAUGAGUGGCGGUCGGGGACGAGCGAUGGUCUUUUCCUACCAUUCUAUCCCCCUAGGAGCAUGCGCGUAGUGCUUGGUUUUUGAUGACUUGUAGAUUUUUUCAAUAAGUAUGUGAGUUCUUUAUGACUAAUGUUGAGUCCAUGGAUUAUACGCACUCUUACCCUUCCAUCAUUGCUAGCCUCUUCGGUACCGUGCAUUGCCCUUUCUCACAUUGAGAGUUUGUGCAAACUUCGCCGGUGCAUCCAAACCCCGUGAUAUGAUACGCUCUUUCACACAUAAACCUCCUUAUAUCUUCCUCAAAACAGCCACCAUACCUACCUAUUAUGGCAUUUCCAUAGACAUUCCGAGAUAUAUUGCCAUGCAACUUUCCACCGUUCCGUUUAUCAUGACACGUUCAUCAUUGUCAUAUUGCUUUGCAUGAUCAUGUAGUUGACAUCGUAUUUGUGGCAAGGCCACCAUUCAUAAUUUUUCAUACAUGUCACUCUUGAUUCAUUGCUAUCCCGGUAUACCGCCGGAGGCAUUCAUAUAGAGUCAUACUUUGUUCUAGUAUCGAGUUGUAAUCAUUGAGUUGUAAAUAAAUAGAAGUGUGAUGAUCAUCAUUCAUAGAGCAUUGUCCCAAUAAAAAAAGAAAAAAAGAGAAAGGCCAAAAAAAGAAGGCCCAAAAAAAGGGGGACAAUGCUACUAUCCUUUUUCCACACUUGUGCUUCAAAGUAGCACUAUGAUCUUCAUGAUAGAGAGUCUCUUGUUUUGUCACUUUCAUAUACUAGUGGGAAUUUUUAAUUAUAGAACUUGGCUUGUAUAUUCCAACAAUGGGCUUCCUCAAAUGCCCUAGGUCUUCGUGAGGAAGCAAGUUGGAUGCACACCCACUUAGUUUCUUUUGUUGAGCUUUCAUGCAUUUAUAGCUCUAGUGCAUUCGUUGCAUGGCAAUCCCUACUCCUUGCAUUAACAUCAAUCGAUGGGCAUCUCCAUAGCUCAUUGAUUAGCCGCGUUGAUGUGAGACUUUCUCCUUUUUUGUCUUCUCCACAUAACCCCAUCAUUAUAUUCUAUUCCACCCAUAGUGCUAUAUCCAUGGCUCACGCUCAUGUAUUGCGUGAAGGUUGAAAAAGUUUGAGAUUACUAAAGUAUGAAACAAUUGCUUGGCUUGUCAUCGGGGUUGUGCAUGAUGAGAGCAUUCUUGUGUGACAAAAAUGGAGCAUGACUAAACUACAUGAUUUUGUAGGGAUGAACUUUCUUUGGCCAUGUUAUUUGAGAGGACAUAAUUGCUUAGUUAGUAUGCUUGAAGUAUUAUUACUUUUAUGUCAAUAUUAAACUUUUAUCUUGAAUCUUUCGGAUCAGAAUAUUCAUACCAUAAUUAAGAGAAUUACAUUGAAAUUAUGCUAAGUAGCAUUCCACAUCAAAAAUUCUGUUUUUAUCAUUUACCUACUCGAGGACGAGCAGGAAUUAAGCUUGGGGAUGCUUGAUACGUCUCCAACGUAUCUAUAAUUUUUGAUUGUUCCAUGCUAUAUUAUAUUCUGUUUUGGACAUUAUCGGGCUUUAUUAUACACUUUUAUAUUGUUUCUGGGACUAACCUAUUAACCGGAGGCACAACCCAGAAUUGCUGUUUUUUUGCCUAUUUCAGAGUUUCGCAGAAAAAGAAUAUCAAACGGAGUCUGUCGGGGAUAUAUCCCGCGGUAUGACCCGGCCGGAAUUGGCGACUCACUGGUGACCUGCCCGGAGCUUGGCGAUUCACAGAUAACCUGCCCAAUCUUGGCGACUCAUCAGUAACCCGGCGGGCGGGUCAGAUGGACAACAAGGCUCAAAGCCCAGAAGGCCGGCUCACGUUAUGAUGGGCCGGAUUAAGAGGAAAGGGAUGACGAAUAUUUCCUUUACGAGGAAGUAAGACCCGGACUUGUAAUUAACUUGUAAGAGAAGAUAGACUAGUCCUAGUCCUACUAGGACUCCACAUGUAACCCGCCCCUCUAACUUAUAUAAGGAGGGGCAGGGCACCCCAAAGAGGGACAAGCAACAAGAAAUAAUCUCUAGGGAUAAACACCGAGAGCAGGAGCCGGCGACUCUCCCGUGAUCAUAAUGAGACCUAGCCUCAACAGCAUGUAGGGUUGUUACCGGAUGAUGUUUCCCGGGGCCCGAAGCUGUCUAAACCCUUGUCUUGUGCGUUGAUCCGCCCUGCGUCUCUCAUCCCAAUCAACCCCUCUCAAGCUACUACAUAGAUGCGCUGGCCUCACGACUAAGUCCUCACGCUAAGGACAUCUGCCGUGACAAUUCCACGACAGUUGGCGCCCACCGUGGGGCAGCCACGGUGGUGUUGAGUUCUUGGAGGGAUUUCUUCAGGGAUCGAGAAACUCACAGUGUGUCGGACGAAAAGAGCCGGCGCUGAAGAUAACAUCAUCGACAAACAGUCAAAGCGAGAGAUCAAGAGAAAAAUAGGGUUGUGUUUAUGCGCUGGCGCACAUGAUCAGAGGAUCCGUUGAGGCCGGGUUAAUUUCCGUGGCCGCUGCAAGUCGAAGUCCCGCAUCUGACAUCAACUGAUACAAGGUACAAGUCGUCGAGACCGACAGGUUUCGUGGGCUCCGUCAUCCGUGUCUAAAUCCAAUUUGGAGCAUCAGAUUCCCUUGCUAUUGCAUGGCGUGGCUCCCUAGGCCUGCUGCCAACUCCUCAACGGACCAAGGCCAACGCCUCGUGCACGUGGACCAACAAUGCAAAGGAUCGCGACGCAAUCUAUUGAAACCAACAGAAGAUUGACUUUGUUUGUAUGCGAGUCCGGCAAGCUGUCAAAUAGUAAUUUCCGUCGAGACCGACAAAAAUUUCUGCGGUCUGAUCCGCCGAGUUGCGCAAAGUUUCUGCUACCAGGUUUCAGGUUCGGAGUACUGGAGUACUAGUCCUGUACACUUUGUACUUUUUCUACUCUACGUGAGAUCUACUCAAGGUCAACCAGAGUAUUAGUACAUAUACAUGCUCACGGAGAUUUAAGAGACAAAUCGAUUGUUACAUCAAGAGCCACUACCGAGUCAUCCUCAUGGGAAGAAGACAAAAAUUGCCUGCAGUUUUGGAAGUGGAGAAAGCCCGGGAAUCAGUCUCCGCCUCCGCCUCAGCCGCCAGGGCCACGUCAUCGGGCCGGCCGCAGCUUGCCAUCGCCUCUGCCGUCUCAAGCAGCGGGAGAUCCGCUGUCGCCUCUGUUUCAAGUCGCCUCGGUUGACCUACUGUCAGUCUGAGUCGCCCCGGUCAAGCGGUCUGUCCGCCCCUGAGCCACCGCGCCUGUUCCUUUUCGACUCUGAGCCGGACGCGCCUCCAAUAGCCUCGAGGUGACCCUUUCAUCAGCCGCCUCCAUUGCGGCGCGCCUGGUCCUCCGUUGGCCAAACCGCCCUACGGGCGUCCUCUGCUUCGGCCCUCGCGGCCCUCAGGACUGCGCCCCGUUGUGACGGCGCUGCUCCACCCAGCGGGCUUGCACGCACCUUUCUUUCCUCUCCCGUGCGGACCUCGCGACGAGGCACCAGAUCCAGCUGCUGCCCUCGAAACCGGCUACUGCCUCGCGCUUUGUCGGUCUACUUUAUCCCAUCGCUGUAAGAAGUUGUUGCAGGUUGUUAAGGUGGUUUCAAGACCAGCAAAGAUGCUCCACGUGAAAAGCAAGGAAAAAGUACUGGCAUGCAUGUACGCUGCAUACAGGAUACGUGGAGCUAAAAAAAGGGACAACUACUACUUCGUCUUAGUCUACUAGUGCUGCUUCUCACAAAGAGGUCAAGAGCCAUUAUCAGCUCACACAAAAAAAGGGGAGGAAAUACUGGUGACCCAUAUAUCUCAGUUAAUUCCUACAGUGCAUGCAGAUCAUCUGCCGUUCGCAAACAUCAGGUGAUAUCCAUCUAAAUUUAUCUUAUUAACACUUAUUAUUUUUUGUCAAAGAACAAUUACUCUGUCCUGUAAUAUUUUUACACAGGACAAUUUUUAUGCCAUUCACGGACACGUGUAUGACGGUCCGGUUGACAUCAACAUACGGCCGACUCACACGUCCGCACCGGCUUACAGUGCCAUGGCCGGCUCAUCUGUUGCCCGGGCGAAUCAGGUGAUAUUCAUCCAAGUUUGUUCUUAACACAUAGUAUUUUUGUCAAAGAGCAGCUUAUCUUUGCCUUGGUCUGCACUAUUGUUGAUGCAGGACAUUUGUUCACUACGUUAAAACAAACAUGGUUGACUCGCUCGCGCCGGUUUACAGCGUCGCAGCCGGUUCAUCUGUUUGAGCUGCCUCUGACGCGGCGGUCUCUUUUCCAUCUGUCUAUUGCGGCCGGGUCUACAUCGACACACCAGGACUGCACCUGUCUGCAUGAGCGGAUUAUUGAAUAUGAGCAAGUCACUGCUUGGGAAGCCCGAUUUUCUUCCAACAGCUUAGAGGAAAAUUGUCAUGUGUUAUCAGCCGUCGUCGGCAUUGGACGGCUCAAUGGGCAUGCGCACAAGUCGCCGCCGCUACAGUUUGGUUAACUUCAAAACGUCCAGUUGGAAGGAACCAUUGGCCGAGUUGCUGACACGGCUCAUACGGGAUCAUUUAUAACACGCCGCAGUCACCUCAACCUUCUGUGGAUUCACAUUGCGUUAUCAACACCAGUGAUAUACACCUUAUGCUAUGGUCAAUAUGGAGAAUCUCAAGCCAACUCCUCGAGUCGUCUGGAGACUCGGGGGCUACAAUGAUAUGACUCGGCAGCAUUGGUCGGUUUCAAUGCAAUCAAGAACUCCGGGUCAUUGGAGGGAAAAAUAACCCGGUCCUGGAGGCUACCGCCAUAUUGGUAAAAAGUUUAAAGGCCGUCAGAAAAUUUCUGGCUUAAAAAGAAGGAGUCUGGUCUAAAUCCGGCGCAAGAGACUUGGCAUCUCCCACAAGGCAUUGAAGCUCUUAAUAUCCGGUUUAAAAUCCGGUUCAGAAAAAUUUAUCUGCCACAAAGCUUUGAAGCUCUCAAAUCCGGUUCAAAAUCCGGUUCAAGGUAAAUUUGUCUAUCACAAAACUUUGAAACUCUCAAUAUCUGGUUUAAGAAUUUCCGGUUCAAAAAGAAUUUAUCUCUCGCAAAGUUCGAGUUCUCAGGGAAAAUUAAAGGGACCAAAGAGUCUGUUACAAAGCACAACUCAAACAUAGGUACUCUACUUUAAGGACCAUUGGGAGCUGAUCGUAUUCGAAUUUAGCUUAACCCUUUGGUGGUGUGACCCUGAUCGUAUUCGAAUCAGAGUCGUUAAAUAUUCUCAUGAUCACUAGGGGGGCUUCCUGUUCAAACAUAGGUCGUAUUCGAACCAAAGAGAACAUAGCUGUCUGUACCCUCUUGAUCGGCACACUGCCGAGCUCACUAGGGGGCUUCUUGAUCGUAUUCGAAUCAUAGCUCAACCCCUCUUGGGAACCGACGUGGAUCGUAUUCGAAUCAGCGUCGUUAAACAACUCUCAAGGUCAUUUGGGGACUUCCUGUUCAAACAUAGGUCGUAUUCGAACCAAAGAGAACAUAGCUGUCGGUACCCUCUUGAUCGGCAACGCCAAAGCCACUGGGGGCUAUAUGAUCGUAUUCGAAUCUUAGCUUAACCCCUUUGGGACGGUUUUCUGAUCGUAUUCGAAUUAGAAGCCUCAAAAUUUUUGAAGUCUCUUUUUGCAAAUAAUUUUUGGGAUUUUAUUUGAAGCUCUUUUGAACACAUCUAAAGUGUACAUGAGUGGUUUCUAUUUAAACCCGGCUUGAUUUUCGAUGAUAAGUCGCCGGCUUAUAACAAUCAUCAUCUAUGUGGAAGCAUUGGCUUCUAAAGAUUGGGUUAUCACACUUACUGCACAGGUAUCAUAAGCCGGCAGUACAAUUCAAUAUCACAGGUAUGAUAUUGUUUAUACAUGAUUAUGUUUAAACCGGCCCUGGCUAUGGACUUUAAGCCGCCGGUAUGUUUUGAAUUGCGCUGUUGGAAUCAUGCGCGUAUCAAAGAUUGGGUUAUCACACUUACUGCACAGGUCAUGUAAACCGGCAGUACAAAUUCAAUAUCACAAUGGUUCUAUAUAAGAUAUUAUGACCCGCCCUGCGGUAAACCGUCAAGGGAUUUUGUGAUCUACUUGUGUGCAGGAUAAGACUACAUUUGGGUGGUUACCCGCCCUGGCUUUUAACGUUAAGUCGCCAGGGCAUAUGUUGUUUAAACUCUGUGCAGGAUUUACAGAGCUAUGACUUGCAUAAAUGAUUAAGUUCAAGCCCAUCAUCAAAGAUUAAAAUUGGUGUCUCAAAAGGGUUAUCAAUUCUUGAUUUUCUCAAAGGCUAUAAGCCGCCGGGUUAUAAAAAUUCCGGUUUACAAUGGAGGCGUAUUAAAUCGUCAUCGGCCAAGAGCCGCCGGGUAUUUAAACUCCGGGUUUACUUAUCAACCGAUGAGGUAUUCAAAGUCGCUUUGGCGCAAUGUCUAUUAUUUUAUCAAUGGAUAUAAUUUAUUCUACAAUGGAAGGAAUAGUCCCGGGUCACUGCAGGCUUACGACCCGACACUUGGGGGCUACAUUAUUCAAGGUUGAGAUUACAUCAAAUAUGCAAGUCCCAUGUCACUGCCAGCAUGCACCAUGGCACUUGGGGGCUAAUGCAAAGUUAUUUUUACUGGCCUUAUUGAAGACCCGACUCAUCACAUUGUAAUGAGCCGGCCCUUGGGGGCUACCAAUUGCUCCUGUCAACAAUUCAGGGUACACAAGUUUAAAUCCAUUAUAUUGAAAGGUCCACUACUCAGUUGGAAGAGUACAAAGCUCUUAACCUUAUGGACGUGGGUUCGGGCCCCAUGGAGAGGAUUACAACAUAUGGUAUUAUUUUCAAGGAAAUAUAUAUAAAGUCCCAGCUCAAUAUUAUCUUACUGAGCCGGCCCUUGGGGGCUACAUGUUGCUGCUCAACUCUACAUCUACAAAGUCCCUGCUCAUUAUUGCAUAAUGACCCGGCCCUUGGAGGCUACACCGGUUGAAGUUUUGUGAGCAUAAGACAAUUACAAGUGCCAGGUUGAUACAAGCAUGACAACCCGUCACUUGGGGGCUACAGGUGACACGGAUAUAAGGAGAAAUACUUUCGAAUUCUUAGUUUUUGAGCAAAUCAGAUUGACCCGGCGUCACCAAUCAUUAUGACCUGGUGUCUGCAACAAUCAUAGCCCGGCGUCAUCAACAAUUAUGACCCGGCGUCGGCAACAAUUAUGACUCGGUGCCAUCAAUAUUUACAAACCGACAAUUUUGGUAAUAUUAAACCGGCAAGUUCUACAUCUUUAAACCGGCUGAAUAUCAGAUGAGUAUUUCAAGACCAAUAUUUCUUAAGCCGGUGCUUUGGAAACCGAUUCAAGUGGAUUGUUUCUUACAAUAUUUCUCUACAAGAGACCAAUGCCAGCAAAUUGACUCUGAAGCUGGCCUAUUGACCCGGAUUUCUCAAAAGAAGUAUCUGGAUUUUUUGCAUUCACAAAGUUUGAACAUAUCUACUAAAGGAGAUUUUCUAUGAGUUCAUGGGCAUGUAUCAAGAAAGAAAUGACAAGGAUUUGAAGAUGAUCAGGUGCCGGCUUACAAAAUUUAACCCGGAGCACAACCUAUCAAGUUUGUUCUUGUGUUUAUUUUACAGGAUCAGUUUAACAUGGAUAAAUCCAAAUUAAACUGGGGGCUAAUGUCGGGGAUAUAUCCCGCGGUAUGACCCGGCCAGAAUUGGCGACUCACUGGUGACCUGCCCGGAGCUUGGCGAUUCACAGAUAACCUGCCCGAUCUUGGCGACUCAUCAGUAACCCGGCGGGCGGGUCAGAUGGACAACAAGGCUCAAAGCCCAGAAGGCCGGCUCAUGUUAUGAUGGGCCGGAUUAAGAGGAAAGGGAUGACGAAUAUUUCCUUUACGAGGAAGUAAGACCCGGACUUGUAAUUAACUUGUAAGAGAAGAUAGACUAGUCCUAGUCCUACUAGGACUCCACAUGUAACCCGCCCCUCUAACUUAUAUAAGGAGGGGCAGGGCACCCCAAAGAGGGACAAGCAACAAGAAAUAAUCUCUAGGGCUAAACACCGAGAGCAGGAGCCGGCGACUCUCCCGUGAUCAUAAUGAGACCUAGCCUCAACAGCACGUAGGGUUGUUACCGGAUGAUGUUUCCCGGGGCCCGAAGCUGUCUAAACCCUUGUCUUGUGCGUUGAUCCGCCCUGCGUCUCUCAUCCCAAUCAACCCCUCUCAAGCUACUACAUAGAUGCGCUGGCCUCACGACUAAGUCCUCACGCUAAGGACAUCUGCCGUGACAAUUCCACGACAGAGUCCAAACGGAAUGAAACCUUCGGGAACGUGAUUUUCGGAACGAACGUGAUCCAGAGGACUUGGACCCUAUGUCAAGACAUCAACCAGGAAGGCACGAGGUAGGGGGCGCGCCUACCCCCCUGGGCGCGCCCUCCACCCUCAUGGGCCCCACGUUGCUCCACCGACGUACUUCUUCCUCCUAUAUAUACCUACGUACCCCCAAACUACCAGAUACGGAGCCAACACCUAAUUCCACCGCCGCAAGCUUCUGUACCCGUGAGAUCCCAUCUUGGGGCCUUUUUCGGAGCUCCGUCGGAGGGGGCAUCGAUCACGGAGGGCUUCUACAUCAACACCAUAGCCUCUUCGAUGAUGUGUGAGUAGUUUACUUCAGACCUUCGGGUCCUGUUGAGGAUAUAGACCUUAGAGUCACCCACCAGGGGGGGGGCGGGUUACUCAUAUGGUCGUUGCCAGAAGCCCGGAGCCAAGCUUGAAGACGAUGGGCCAGAGAUGGGCUAAGACCCGGAUGUGGCUUAAAGCCCAUAGUUACAAUCAUUAUUAUGGUUAAACUUGUAGCAUAAGGCAAGUAUAGUUGAGAGUCCGAGCUGGACACUCUUUAUGAGCCGGCCGGGAUUCUAAGGGCUGCUGGGCGUUUUCCUCCCUAUAUAAAGGGACGACCCGGCAGCGGUUUAGGGACGACAACAAUCUCAUCGAGAGCCGGGCAUAGCAGUUUAGCUCCCUGGUGAUCGUAACCCUAAUCGAUACCAUCUCAACCGGACGUAGGCUUUUACCUUCACCGUAAGGGGCCGAACCAGUAUAAACCCUCGUGUUCCUUGUCCCACAUUAACCCCUUCAAUCUUCCUAGUCGCGAUGGCUCCACGACUAAGUCCUAGCUCGAGGACAUCUGCCGUGACAAUUCCACGACAGUUGGCGCCCACCGUGGGGCCAGCGCACGGUGGAUUUGAGUUCUUGAAGGGCAGCUUCGAAGGGCUCAAGGGAUACGCGGUGGGCCGGAUGACCAAGAGUCAUCGCGGCAAGCUCUACAUCGACGAUGCAAACUGGGGCCCCGACGCCGGCUCAAUUGAGUACGGGUACCGGGUCCACUUCGGUGGAAUUCAUGUCUUCAUUGGCAAGAUGGGUGAGCCGGGACCUGAGCCGGAUCUCUGCGCCGAUCUCAUCGAAACGGCUCAGCGCGCACGACCGGUCCGGGCCCGGCCUGCCUUAAGGCGCGCUUUUGUGGGAUGCAUCCAUGGAGGGCCCUCUGAUCUAGCUGGGUCUGGUGAUGAGACGGCCGUCGGCUCUGACGGCGAGUCAGCCACCGAUGAGUCAAACUCGUUGUACCAACUUCAGGAUGGCAGGCUCAUGGGUUGUUCCGAUGGUGAUAGUAUUCCGGACCUAUUUGAGCCGCCAAGUCAGGUUGGAGUUUUCAUGGCUGGAGCACAGCCUGUUCAGAACCCCGCUGCUGGAGCGGGAACCCCGGUGCCUUCGCCGGCUCAGGUGCUAAUGGAUCUCACGGACAAGAUGACGGCGCUGUUAACCGCCACGGUUGACCCGGCGGAUCAAGCUCGGCAUGACGCGGAGGUGGCACAGUUAAAAUUGGAUCUAGUGAAGGCUAAAGAGGAUCUUGCAGCGGAAGGGAUCAGACUGGCUACAGAGAGGGCGGCUCUCGAUGCCCAAACCCAGCUGAUCCAGGCGCAGUCCUUCCAACUCACGAUGGAUCAAAACGCGGCCAAUGAGGUCCUGAGAAGGAGGCACCAAAAGGCCCAAUCUCGACUCCCUCCGGUUUACGAUCCACGCAUUCUCUUCAACACACCAGGUGCAGGGUCUAGUAACCCGCCAGGGAUCAUAGCGCCCGGGUCUGGACCCCUUAUUCAGCCACGGGUGAUGGGGCCUCCCCAGGUGCCCCCUACCCCGCCUCAGUAUGUGCCAAUACCCCCGGGUCAUUAUAAUAACCCGCUGGAGAACAUGGUUGCUGCGGCAGCACGGCUGGCGGCUCUACCAGUUGACGGCGACUCUCCGACGGCUAUUGAAACCCGCCGGGUCAGGGAACUCCUCCAGACAGCACUGGCGCAACAAGAGGCGUACUCCUACAGCCGGGACAGGAUCCACUCGACCCCUCGUCCUGGCCAGAGCCCGAGUUACAGCCGGCACAUGGUCUCAGCAACCGGCUCAAGUAACGUCCGACGCCAUGACCCGCCCCCAUGUCAUGGCCCGGCUCAUAAUGGAGCCUUUUACACAGCAGACCAAGCGCGGCAAGAGGCGGAGCAAGUACCGCAAUUGACGGCUUACCAGACCCCCCCGGCUUAUCCGACGGCUUCCAUUGAUGUGGGUAUCCCUACCAGGACCGGGGGAGUCCCUUGUUUAGUGCCAGCUAUCCGUAAUGAACGUCUACCUAAGGAUUUCAAGGGCCCUAGGAAGGUGCCUAACUACACAGCUGACUUACAACCCGCAGCCUGGAUCGAGAGUUAUGAGAUGGCUAUGGAGCUGCUGGAGGUCAGUGAGGCGGCCAUGGCCAAGUAUUUCACCAUGAUGUUAGAUGGGACCGCCCGCACUUGGUUGAAAGGGCUACCACCGAACUCCAUUGGGUCUUGGGCGGAGCUGAAAGCCCGGUUCAUCCAAAACUUCAAAGAUACCUGUAGGCAGUCUAUGUCAAUUGUGGAUUUGACUAACUGUAAGCAGCAGGAGGGUGAAUCCACGACCCAUUGGGUUUGCCGGGUUAAGGAGAUCAUACAUUCAUCAGAUAAGAUGGAUGCCGGCUCUGCAGUCUUAAUGUUAGAGCAGAAUUGUCGCUUCGUGCCCCUGAAGAUGAAACUCGGGCGGCUUAAGCGUGAUUGCAGUGAUAUGGGUACACUAAUGGCGGCUCUUGUUAAGUACGCCGAUUCCGAUGGUACCAAGGAUCCCCCUUCAGAUGACGGUAGGACAGGGAAGGGAAAGAAGAACGGCAAUGGCAAGGGUCCUCAGUUUAACCCGGGGAACCAAGGAGGAGGCAAGCGCAAGGCAGAUGACAGCCUAGAGUUUGUGGCCAACGCCAGCUCACAAGGUAAUAACCAGGGACGCAAGGGGAGGCCCCCUCCCCGAGGCGGCGGGUCAGGUCCGACGCUGGAGCAGCUGUUGAAUGAACCUUGUCCAAGGCAUGGCUCUAGAGAGAAGCCAGCGACUCACCUGUGGAAAGAUUGUGCGAUCAUGAAGGCCUUUAAGAACUACAAUGGCCCGGGCGGUGGCUCAGGUGCCGGCGGCUCAGGCGCCGGCGGCUUUCAUGGCCCGGGGGGCGGCUCAAAUUCUGGUCCUCAGAGCGGUCAAGGGGAUUUUAAUCAACAGUCUGGCCAAGGUCAUCAACAGCAGCAGGGGGGUUAUCAGACCAAUCCAAAGCAACUUAGCGGUGGACAGUAUCAUGUGUUUACCACUAGUUUGUGCAAGCGAGAUCAGAAGCUUCACAAGAGGGCUGUGAAUGCUGUGGAGCCGGCGAUCCCACGCUACUUGCGGUGGUCUGAGCAACCUAUAGUGUGGAGUAGGGAGGAUCACCCUCCCCGGGUGGAUAACCCGGGCCACUUGGCCUUAGUGGUAGCUCCUCAAGUGGGAGGAUAUAAAUUCACAAAGGUGCUCAUGGAUGGAGGCAGCAGCAUCAACAUCCUCUAUUAUGAGACUUUUCGCCGUAUGGGGUUGGUUGAUAAGAACCUCAGCCAGUCAAACACUAUCUUCCAUGGCGUGGUACCUGGUAAGUCGGCUUAUCCAGUCGGCAAGAUCGAAUUGGAAGUGGCCUUUGGUGAUGAGAACAACUACAGGGUGGAGAAAUUGACCUUUGAGGUGGUCAAGAUAAGAAGUCCAUACCAUGCUAUAUUUGGACGGCCGGCUUACGCCAAGUUAAUGGCACGGCCGUGUUAUGUGUAUUUACAGCUCAAGAUGCCGGGUCACAAUGGGACCAUUACGGUUCACGGCAGCCGGAAAGUGGCUCUGGAGUGUGAGGAAGGCGAUGCGGCUUAUGCAGAGUCCGUGUGUGCUACAGAGGAGUUGAAGUUUUACAAGGACAAUGUUGACCCAACAGAUAUGACCUCUCUGAAAAAGCCAACUACAGAACAAGAGCCGGCAAUGAAAUUUAAAUCAGCUGAUGAGACUAAACUUGUUGAUUUUGUUCCAGGUGACUCAUCUCAGCAGUUUAGCAUCAGUGCAAAUCUGGAUCGAAAAUAGGAAAGCGCGCUCAUCGAGUUCAUCCGUGAAAAUAGGGACAUCUUCGCAUGGAAACCUUCUGACAUGCCAGGUGUACCUAGAGAACUCGCUGAGCACACUCUCAAUGUUGAUCCUAAAUUUAAGCCGGUCAGACAGUUCCUUCGGCGGUUUAAUGAAGAGAGGCGGAAAGCUAUUGGUGAAGAGGUGGCCCGGCUCUUGGCGGCCGGGUUUAUUGUUGAAGUCUUCCACCCAGAGUGGUUAGCCAACCCGGUGCUCGUACUCAAGAAGAACGGCACCUGGCGGAUGUGUGUGGACUACACGGACCUGAACAAGGCGUGUCCGGCUGAUCCUUUUGCCCUCCCCCGUAUUGAUCAAAUCAUUGAUGCUACGGCAGGUUGUGCACGUCUAAGUUUCUUGGAUGCUUAUUCCGGUUAUCAUCAGAUUAAGAUGGCAGGUAAGGACCAGGAGAAGACAGCGUUCAUUACUCCCUUUGGAGCCUUCUGCUAUGUAUCCAUGCCUUUUGGACCCAAGUGUGCACAGGCGACUUACCAGCGUUGUGUACAGAACUGUCUUCAUAAACAGAUUGGGUGUAAUGUUCAUGCUUACGUGGACGAUAUUGUGGUUAACUCCAUAAAAGAGGAAACCCUGAUAGAUGAUUUAAGGGAAACCUUUGAUAAUCUCCGGGUCUAUAAGAUGAUGCUUAACCCGGCCAAGUGUGUCUUUGGUGUUCCUGCAGGCAAGCUCUUGGGCUUCUUGGUUUCUGACAGGGGCAUUGAGGCUAACCCGGAGAAGAUCAAGGCCAUCACCUCCCUGGCUAAGCCGGCGUGUAUAAAUGACGUUCAGCGCUUGGCGGGUCGCAUUGCUGCUUUAAGCCACUUUAUAAGCCGUUUGGGUGAGAAGGCCAUGCCCUUAUAUCAGUUGAUGAAGAAAACUGAUAACUUUGUCUGGAAUGAUGCAGCUAAUACCGCCUUUGAGGAUUUGAAGAAGCAGCUGGCAGAGCCCCCAGUCCUUGCUGCUCCGGUUGAUAAGGAGCCCUUGCUACUGUAUGUGGCGGCAAACGCACGAGCCGUCAGUGUGGCUAUUGUGGUAGAGCGCAAGGAGGCGGCUAAGGAACAUCCGGUUCAGCGGCCGGUUUAUUAUGUCAGCGAAGUGCUCAUUGAGUCCAAGCAACGGUACCCGCAUUGGCAGAAGCUUGUGUAUGGUGUGUUCAUGGCAAGCCGGAAACUUAAGCAUUAUUUUCAGGGUCAUCCCAUCACUGUGGUCAGCUCUGCCCCCCUUGGUGACAUCAUCCAAAACAGAGAGGCCACAGGGAGAAUUGCUAAGUGGGCUAUAGAACUUGGACCUCAUGGUCUCAAAUAUGUGCCACGCACUGCUGUUAAAUCUCAGGCCUUGGUGGAUUUCCUCAAUGAUUGGACAGAGUCACAAGUGCCUGAGCAGAAGCCGGAUAACACAUAUUGGACUAUUCACUUCGAUGGGUCCAGGCAGUUGGAGGGCUCGGGGGCUGGUGUUGUAUUGGCCUCCCCUAAAGGUGACAAGUUCCAUUAUGUGCUACGGUUGAUGUUUCCUUGCACUAACAAUGCGGCUGAGUACGAGGCCUUGCUCCACGGUCUUCGGAUGGCUAAGGAAAUGAGCUUGAGCCGGGUAAGAUGCUUCGGUGACUCAGACUUGGUGGCUCAACAAGUAUCAGGCAAGUGGGACUCUAAGGACCCGCUCAUGGCGGCUUAUCGCCGCGAAGUUGACGCCAUUGCUGGGCAUUUUCAGGGCUACCAAGUAGAGCACAUUGAUCGCAGGAAGAACGAGGCGGCUGAUGCCCUAAGCCGGCUAGGCUCUCAGCGAAAGCCGGUGCCACCUAACACUUUCCUGGAUGUCCUGUAUAGCCCUUCGGUUAAGUUGCCUACGGAGGAAGACUUGGCUGUCCCUGACCCGGAGGCACGACUGGUGGCGGCUCUCCAUAUCAUACCAGACUGGACAAUGCCAUAUCUGGCUUACAUGACCCGGGGCGAGUUGCCUGAGGAUGAAACUUUGGCCAGGCAAAUAACCCGGCGGGCCAAGUCAAUGAUUGUUAUCGAUGGCGAGUUACAUCAUCGCAGUGUUACAGGAGUGUUUCAGCGCUGUGUCUCCCCUGAGGAAGGUCAAGAGAUCUUGCGUGAGAUCCAUGAAGGGGAUUGUGGCCAUCACGCCGGCUCAAAGUCUCUUGUGGCCAAGGCUUUUCGUCAUGGUUUUUAUUGGUUGAUGGCUCAUGCUGAUGCAGAAGACUUGGUCAGUAAAUGUGAUGGUUGCCAGAGGUUCUCACGACGGGCUCAUGUGCCGGCUCAGGAGCUGAGGAUGAUCCCAAUCACUUGGCCCUUUGCGGUCUUGGGGCUUGACAUGGUUGGGCCUUUUAAAAGGUCCAAGGAUAAGAAGACCCACCUCUUGGUGGCAGUUGAUAAGUUCACAAAGUGGGUGGAAGCUGAGCCAGUUAGCAAGUGCGAUGCAGCCACGGCGGUUCAAUUUAUGAAAAAGGUGAUUUUCCGCUUCGGGUUUCCGCACAGCAUCAUAACUGACAAUGGCACCAAUCUCUCCAAAGGCGCUAUGGAAGAGUUUUGUCAACGAGAGCAUAUCCGACUUGAUGUUUCCUCAGUGGCUCAUCCUCAAUCCAAUGGUUAAGCUGAGAGAGCUAACCAGGAGAUCCUGAAGGGCAUCAAGCCCCGGCUUUUGGUCCCUUUGCAACGGACGCCGGGUUGUUGGGUGGAGGAGUUGCCCUCCGUCUUAUGGAGUAUCAACACUACUCCUAACAGGUCUACAGGCUUCACGCCUUUCUUCAUGGUUUAUGGAGCAGAAGCAGUCCUCCCCAGUGACAUCCGUCACGACUCACCUCGCGUGGCGACUUAUGUUGAGACGGAUAAUGAACAGGCGCGCCAGGAUGCUCUUGACUUGUUGGACGAACAGCGUGAUGUGGCAGCAGCCCAUUCAGCGAUUUACCAACAAGACCUACGCCGUUAUCAUAGCCACCGGGUCAAAUCCCGGGUCUUCCAGGAAGGCGACCUUGUGCUCCGGCUCAUCCAGGAUCAAACAGAUGCACACAAGUUAUCCCCGCCUUGGGAAGGGCCCUUUGUGGUCAGCAAGAACUUGCACAACGGGUCGUAUUACCUCAUUGACAUUCGGGAGCACAAAGAUUCACGUAAGUCGGAGGAGGAGACCCGUCGGCCGUGGAACAUAGCUCAGCUUCGGCCCUACUACACUUGAGCCACCGGCUCUCGUGGUGUACAUAUUUCUCUCAGACAUAUAUAUAUUAUGAUAAAGCAAUAAAGCAGGACCUCUGUCCUAUUUUCUCCUCCAAAUAUGCAAGUGUUGUUUUUAUUACAAGAUUACAUGAUGGCUUAAAGGAGGAUCCGGCUUAUGAUCGUAUUCGAAUCGAGCCGUAAGCAGUAAAGUCACUUGGGGGCCUCCUGUUCAAACAUGGGUCGUAUUCGAACCAAAGAGAACAUAGCUGUCGAUACCCAUUUGAUUGGCAAAAUGCCGAGCUCAUUGGGAGGUUACCUUUGGUCACAUUUGAAUCAUAGUUUAACCCCUCUGAGAACCGACGUGGAUCAUAUUCGAAUCAGCGUCGUUAAACAAUUUCUUAAAAUCACUUGGGGGCUUCCUGUUCAAACAUGGGUCGUAUUCGAACCAAAGAGAACAUAGCUGUCGGUACCCUCUUGAUUGGCAUCGCCACACCCACUGGGGGCUAUAUGAUUGUAUCUGAAUCUUAGCUUAAACCCCUUUGGGCCGGGUCUCUGGUCGUAUUCGAACCGGAAGCCCCUAAGUUCUUCUGCUUUAUCACAAGUUUACUCUGAUUAUGUCAAGAGGUGUACGGCCGGGUCUCAUUUUUCCGGCUUAAAAUGUUAGUUGAACACCAUGGGUGUUAUUAAAACAAGUAACUCAGAGUUGAGGUACCAACCUUGUUACCCGGGUUAUCUAACCCGGAAGUAUGCUACAGGCUGCUAAGUGUGUUAUCACGGCUGUCUUCAGGAUAUUACAGGAGGGCCGGUCUUUUUUGAUUCGUAUGCCGGGUUAUCCAUCCAAAACACCUGAUUCUCAGGGUGGUAAGCCGCCUCGAGACUUGUGAUUUGCCUUUCUAUGCAGGAUACGUAAAGGCACCUUUUUGAGGUUGAGAAAAACAAAGGGAUGAUUAUGACCCGGAGAAACAUCAAAGAGACAACUUAAAAAGAUUUUGGCAUUCAAUAUGUGCAUGAUGGCACGGCAGAGAUAGACUGUUGCACCUACUUUAUUACAACAUUCAUCAAAUUUAACAAGGGUGGAGCAUUGUUUGGUAAACCGACAGCCGAGCUACGAUACCCGCUGGGUGGAAGUCUCCGGCUCGUUCCUGUCCUGUCCUCCGGCUGAUCCCAAGACCUGGAAGGUUGAUGACUUCCAGUUGAUGCCGCUGAGAGCCUCAAACUGGGCUUCCUCGUCAAUUAAACCGGCCGGGUCAAUCUCUGGAGCGAAGGUGUGCUGACGAGCCGGCGGGAUCAGGUUGAGGGCUUCAUAGCGAGGGGUUGGAAUCCUCUGAUUCUCCGCGUCAUAACCCGGCUGGUACUUGGUCAGAUCUGUGUCAUUCCCGAUGAGGGUGGCCACCGGGCGUACAGCCUUCACGCACGCUGCGAAGUCCUUCUGAUCAAAAGCUGAGCCGUCUUCCUUCAGGCUUGGAUAGCCAAGGGCAAUGUCUGCCGGGUCUAACUCCGGCAGGAAUGCCUUGGCCCGGCUCAGCGCGACGAUUGCUCCGGCUCUCGUAGAAGCCCGUCGCAGCUCUUGGAUCCGCUGAGGCAGAACGGCGAGCCGGCGCAGGACUUCUGCCAGGUGAGUCGGCACCUCGUUGGAUAAGGCCACCACAGCUAAGGCACGCUGUGACCCGGUGUAGAGCUGUUCCACUAGGGUAUACACGGCCUUUAGCUUGGUGACCACGCUCUGGUUGAGGUUGGCACUUCUGGGACCUGUUUAACAGAAUCAAGUAAGUCGGCGACAAGGAUGAAUCAUGAGAUAUGAACAUUCUAACAUUGAUGAAAGCCGGUGAGGCGACUUACCGAAGAUGGCGGCCACCAUUUGGGAAACCUGGCGCUUUAGGCCGGAGAGCUCGGCGGUCUUCUCAGAGAGAGUCUUCUCCGCCUGUUCUGCCCGGGUCACCAGUGCGGCCUUCUCUUCAGCCCAGGCCUUCCGCUCAGCAUCAAAUUCUGUCUUAAGCUUCUCUUGAGCGGCGAUGCUGGAGACAAACUUGGCGUUUGCCUUCCGGGUCUCCAUCUCCUGCGUCUUCAGCCGGCUCUUGAGAUCCGCAAGGUCCGACUCUAGCUUCUUGCCAACAGCCUGAAUAGAUUUCCGGGUUAUUAACAGUCAUGAUAUAAGUCCCAAGCGUUUUUCAAGCAAAGACACUUGGCACUUGGGGGCUAAUGCAUAUUGAACGUAUCUAUCUACAUACAGCCGGCUCAAUUGAGUAAGCCGGGACCUAAGUCUACAACAUAUUCACGUCAUAAGUCGUUGACUUGGGGGCUAGCAUGGCAAAGGUAACUAUGCAGUAAGUAAGAAGAUAGCAGAAAGAUACCUCAGAUUUUUGCUGGAUUUGGUUUACUAUGGCGACCUCGGCAUCCCGGCUCUUGUGUACUUGGCUGAUGUAGCCAGAGACGAGUUCUCCAAUGCUCAGGUUGCUGUAGUUGGAGAGGUCCAGAUUCGCCCGGUGGGGCUGCAGCAACUCCCCCUUAGCAGGGCACUUGGCCAACACGGUCCGUCUCCCCGGCUCAACAUACUCCGUCCGGGUGAUUACCACGUCCGGGUCGUCUGCUGGAGGAGCCGGAGGCCUCCGGGUUAACCGAAGCUUCGGUCGUUGCCUUGGUAGUUGGGGCGGGGGCUUCAGGUGCCGUGUCCAUUGGAGUGGUGGCUUCGGGGGCGGAGGCAGCUGGCGGUUCUUGGACUGUCACCGCCGGCUCAGGCAGAUCCGGCACUCCGUCCGACUUGGUUUUCUUCACCCUCUUGGUGAGCUUUGCCUGGGCACUGAAAGAACAACAAAGGUUGGUACAAAGAAUAUGAAUAAAGAUCCGAACAACAUAAGAUGAUUGUUGUUACCCGGGCGCGGUCUUGAAAGCCGGCAGAUUUGACUGCAUGGAGUCACCCGAAGAGGGGGAGGUCUCCUGGUAAUUGGAGUCAGAAGAGUUGAGUGGCUGACGGAUAACACCCGCCAACGGGUGAAAAGGGUACAAGUGGGAAAUAACCUCAGUUCGGCGUUUUCUUGUUGCGUCGGGUAACCCGGCGGAGAGGUCGGUGUCCUGGUUGGUCCGGGUGUGACGCCGGCUUUCAUGAACCUGUCGCUUCAAAAGAAAUUGAGGGUCUUGAUGAGCUAAAGGAUGUGAAAAGCUUACUUUCCGGGUUACCCUUCGGACUUUCAGCUGUUUCAAGGGCUCCGAGUCGGAGGAAAGUGACAUUACCUCUUCAACCACCGGGUUACUUGCGCCGGUGUCAUCCUGUCAAUGAGCAAGUAUCGAUAAGGCGGACAGCAACAAACAGUGAAUAUAGUAAAGACUUAAAUGCUCAGGAGUUACCUCUGACUCAGAGCUGUCGCUUAAUUGCAUCAGCUCCGAAGCAGUAGGCCUGCUUCCUUUUUUGCGAGGGGCGGCUUUUUUGGCGGCUUUCUUCGCCUUCCUGGCUUUCUUGGCCGCCUCAUGGUCAUAUUUGACCCGCCAGAACUUAUCAUCAGCCUGAAAAAUACAAUGACAGAUUUUUAAACGGUUCAGAUGAAGGUUAUAUGCAGACGAAGAUAAAAAGUUAAAGUCAGCGGCUUACCGCUGGGGCUGGAUUGGUCUUGCAGAAGGGGGCUAACCCGGUCCUUCCGCAGUCUGCCAGGCUCUCGUUUAAAAGAGCCUUGGUCUCCUCCUCUACAACGUCUUCUGGAAGAUCAUUGCGGCUGUGCCUCUGAGGGUCAUCUUUUCGCCCUGUGUACUCACACAUUAAGCCGGGGAGGCGGCUCAAUGGGAUCACCCGCCAGGAGAUCCAGACCCGGACCAGGUCAAUUCCGUUCAGACCGUUGCCCAGGAGGGCCUUGAUUUUGUUGAUGGUAGGAAGCAGAGGCUGGCGCUCUGCUUGAGUCAGCUUGUCCGACAGUGGGUGAGUCGGCUCCAGACGUGUUGGGCGAAAGCCGGGCAGCGGGCUUUCAUCAGCCAGGGACGUAUCUUGGCAGUAAAACCAAGUCAUGUUCCAGUCCUUAGGGUGGCUCGGCGGCUCUGCGUAAGGGAAAAGACAGUCCCUACGCCGCUGGAUGGAAAUGCCACCUAACUCCAGACUUGGUCCGUUGGCGCACUCAUUUUGGCGGUUUAAAUAAAAAAGCUCUCUGAAGAGCAGCAGACUAGGCUCUUCUCCAUGGUAAACCUCGCAGAAGACUUGGAAAUUGCAGAUGUUGGACACUGAGUUGGGGCCUAUAUCUUGAGGCCGCAAGUCGAAGAAGUUGAGCACGUCCCUGAAAAACUUUGAGCCGGGCGGUGCGAAGCCCCGGCUCAUAUGAUCUGCGAAAAUCACUACCUCGUCGUCCUUUGGCUGUGGUCUCUCUUCUGACGGGUCAGGGGCACGGUAGGACAUGAUUUCCUUCUUAGGCAGAUAUCCGGACUUAACAAAAUUGGCUAGGGUCUCGUUGGUGACGUUGGACCUCAUCCAGUUGCAAGUGAUGGGAGCCUUAGGAGGCAUGGUGAAAGUUGGCAGUCUAUGACAAAAAGGAAAAAUGUCCGGGUUAAUUUUAAGCCGGAGAUCUACAAUUCACAACUAAGGUGGCGGCUUAUGAAGGGGACUAAUGAUAUAUACUCUGGUACAGUGGGUUAUUUAAGUCACAGGGGCAUUCAGAGUAAGUUGGUUAUCUACGGCCUUACCACAGUUAAGCCGGAGGAUUCUACGAAGCAUGGAUUUCUUUAAAGCCGGAGGAUUCUACGGCGCGUGGUCUCUUUAAACCGGAAUUGUAAGCCGCCAAGGUUCAAUGGUUGCAGUUUUUACUAAGUGUGGUAAAACAAGUUUCACAUAUUGCCGUAACUUUUUUGGAUCAAAAUGGUCGGUCCAAAGAAAAUUUUCUAGACCUAAAAAAGCGGACGCAUGGGAGUUCUUGAGCUCGAAGGAGGUCUUAUGCAGUAGAAAGAAGUGUGUUUUGCAGGUAAAAUGAGUACUAAACAGCUACUGCAGCAAGUCUAUACAGAUCUAAGAUCAACCGGAGCAGUAAGAAAGAAAGCUACCGAAGUAUGUGGCAAUGGCGACGAACACGAAGAACACAGACGAACCCUACGGUGGAUCUAUCUUACAGGGCAAGCAAGACUUACCGGAGUUGGAGAGCUGCGGAGGUUGUUGCGUUUCUCUGGUCCGUUCAGGGUGAUGCGGCGGCCUGAGCGUGGUGACGACGAGAAGACCCGCGGCGGCGACGGCGGAGGAGCUCGGGCAGCGGAGCGAUGGCACGAGGAAGAAGAUGGGGAGGAAGUGGCUGAAAGCCCGUCGGGCAGGCCUAUUUAUAAGGCAAGGUCAUAAGUGGGCGCGAGAUUCAAGGAGACCACGGCGUGGUUAUCUCCCCCCACGCGCCUCGAUUUUUGGAAUGACAGUAAAAGCAAAGAUCCGUUGCGGAUCUGGUGGAGUAAAAAACGGGCUUAAUGGAAGAUGACGUCACGGCGGAUUAUCCGGAGUCCAGAGGAUGACGUCACGCCGGGUUAUGGCUUUCACAUGAAUGGUAAGCCGGAGAUUUUUUCUGUCGGCAGAGUUGAAGAUUGACAUGAGCCGGCUCAAAUCAAUCUGGGGCCUAAUGUUGAGGAUAUAGACCUUAGAGUCACCCGCCACGGGGGGCCGGGUUACUCAUAUGGUCGUUGCCAGAAGCCCGGAGCCAAGCUUGAAGACGAUGGGCCAAAGAUGGGCUAAGACCCGGAUGUGGCUUAAAGCCCGUAGUUACAAUCAUUAUUAUGGUUAAACUUGUAGCAUAAGGCAAGUAUAGUUGAGAGUCCGAGCUGGACACUCUUUAUGAGCCGGCCGGGAUUCUAAGGGCUGCUGGGCGUUUUCCUCCCUAUAUAAAGGGACGACCCGGCAGCGGUUUAGGGACGACAACAAUCUCAUCGAGAGCCGGGCAUAGCAGUUUAGCUCCCUGGUGAUCAUAACCCUAAUCGAUACCAUCUCAACCGGACGUAGGCUUUUACCUUCACCGUAAGGGGCCGAACCAGUAUAAACCCUCGUGUUCCUUGUCCCACAUUAACCCCUUCAAGCUUCCUAGUCGCGAUGGCUCCACGACUAAGUCCUAGCUCGAGGACAUCUGCCGUGACAAUUCCACGACAGGUCCAUAGUUAUUAGCUUGAUGGCUUCUUCUCUCUUUUUGGAUCUCAAUACAAUGUUCUCCCCCUCUCUCGUGGAGAUCUAUUCGAUGUAAUCUUCUUUUGUGGUGUGUUUGUUGAGACCGAUGGAUUGUGGGUUUAUGAUCAAGUUUAUCUAUGAACAAUAUUUGAAUCUUCUCUGAAUUCUGUUAUGUAUGAUUGGUUAUCUUUGCAAGUCUCUUCGAAUUAUCAGUUUGGUUUGGCCUACUAGAUUGAUCUUUCUUGCAAUAGGAGAAGUGCUUAGCUUUGGGUUGAAUCUUGCGGUGUCCUUUCCCAGUGACAGUAGGGGCAGCAAGGCACGUAUUGUAUUGUUGCCAUCGAGGAUAACAAGAUGGGGUUUAUAUCAUAUUGCAUGAGUUUAUCCCUCUACAUCAUGUCAUCUUACUUAAAGCGUUACUCUGUUCUUAUGAACUUAAUACUCUAGAUGCAUGCUGGAUAGCGGUCGAUGUGUGGAGUAAUAGUAGUAGAUGCAGGCAGGAGUCGGUCUACUUGUCUCGGACGUGAUGCCUAUAUACAUGAUCAUACCUAGAUAUUCUCAUAACUGUGCUCAAUUCUGUCAAUUGCUCAACAGUAAUUUGUUCACCCACCGUAAUACUUAUGCUCUCGAGAGAAGCCACUAGUGAAACCUAUGGCCCCCGGGUCUAUUUUCCAUCAUAUUAAUCUUCCAACACUUAGCUAUUUUUAUUGCCUUUUAUUUUACUUUGCAUCUUUAUCAUAAAAAUACCAAAAAUAUUAUCUUAUCAUAUCUACCAGAUCUCACUCUUGUAAGUGACCGUGAAGGGAUUGACAACCCCUUUAUUGCGUUGGUUGCGAGGAUUUAUUUGUUUGUGUAGGUGCGAGGGACUCGUGCGUGGCCUCCUACUGGAUUGAUACCUUGGUUCUCAAAAACUGAGGGAAAUACUUACGCUGCUUUACUGCAUCACCCUUUCCUCUUCAAGGGAAAACCAACGCAGUGCUCAAGAGGUAGCACGCCGCUGAGGGAGUCCUCGAUUAGGGGGUCUCCGGGCGUCCGGGCUAUGUGCAUGGGCCAGACUGAUGGGCUGUGAAGAUACAAGAUAGAUGGCCUUUCCCCGUGUCCGGAUGGGACUCUCCUUUGCGUGGAUGGCAAGUUUGGCGUUCGGAUGUUGUCAUGGUUUUGUCACGGCAGAUGUCCUAGUGAAAGGACUUAGUCGUGGAGCCAUCGCGACGGGUUAGCUUAAAGGGGUUAAAGCGGACAAGGGACACAGGGUGUUUAUACUGGUUCGGCCCCUUGCUGUGAAGGUAAAAGCCUACGAUCCAGUUGUUGUGGAAUUGCUAGGGUUUCGAUGACCAGGGAGCGAAUCCGCUAUGCCUGGUUCUCGAGUUGUUGUUUUUCUCUCUCUAAACCGCCGCCGGGUCGUCCCCUUAUAUACAUGGGUUGACGCCCGUCGGUUUACAGGAUCCCGAGGCCGGCUCAUAAACGUGUGCGGCCCGGUCUCUACUCUUCCUAUCUUACAACAUAAGCUUACAUAUCAAUGUCGGUUUAUGUCUACAGGCUUUAAUCCGCCUUUGGGCCCUGGGCCUUCAAAAAGCGCCAUCGUCUUUGUCUUCAUGGGCUUCAAAUAUAAUAACUCAUUAUGGGGAUAACCCGACCUCUCUUGGCCGGUUUACGCCCAGCAGUAAUAUCCCCAACAUUAGGCCCCAGAUUGAUUUGAACUGGUUCAUGUCAAUCUUCAAUACUUAGGAAAAUUUCUUCUUCAGCACCUUCAUGUAAGUCUCAUAAACCGCCAUGACAUCAUCUUCUAGGAUCAUGAUAAACCGCCAUGACGUCACCUGUUUUUAAAGAUUGCAUAUAGCUCACCUUCAUUAAUGAGCCUCCGACAAUCAAGGCGACAGAGCUGUCACAUAUCCCAUUCUCGGGCUCCUCGAUUCUCGCGCCUGUCACUUAUCCAUUCACCUUAUAAAUAAGGUCGAGGGGUCCUUUUCACUUUUCCCCUUCGUGCCCCUUCACAUCGUCCUCUUCCUCGCAACGCCCGACCAUUGGAGUUCUGCCGACGCCGUCGACCUUCGCUUCUGCCCCAAUGACAGCCGCUGCAUCAACCUGAUCGCACCAGAGAAACACGGCGCUCCUCCGCUGUUCCCUCAGCAUCAGCAAGUUCCUCUUUUCCUUGCUCUAGAUCCACCAUUAGGGUUUCGGUGUUCAUCGGAGUUCAUUGAAGCUCCGGCGCCGUUCUUCCCUGUUCUUCUUAGUAGCAUAAACGGCUAGUUUGGAUCUGAUACUUCUUGUGCGGCCGUAGCCAUAACCCCCUUUCUCCUUAUUAAAGCAUCUCCUUUAUAUAGAAAACUCAUCUGAACUUGAUGAACUGUUCAAGCACCUGAAGUUAGGUCUGAAUAUAUUCUAGUUUUCUGCACACCGCGGAUCUGAAAUUAUCACAUCAAUCUGCGAAACUUGUUUUUCCCUCACUUAGGUACUUUAGAUCCGUACCUUUCACACCAAUAUAGGCGGUUUAGCUUUGAAAAAAUGAUAAUCCGGUAAGUACCAUUAGUCCCCUCUUAAACCACCGAUGCAUUUAUCUUUGCACCUCCUCCAUCGUAAUAUGCCGGUUUAGCAAUAUUAGACUCCGGUUUAACAAUAUGCAUACACCUCUGCUUCUGCUUAACUUGCAUCGCUUUAUGGUUGCCCGUCAUCCAUCUUAAAUCGGCAUUUAUCUUUUUCCAGCUUUUCAUUACAAUGGCCAAAUAGUUUUAUGCUUGUAACUGGGUCCCUUCCCGGGUUACGGAAUCACAACUAGAGGGAUGUGUCGCAACUGGCGCUUUAGCGAAGAAAGAAACUAUCCAGUGGAGGGUCCCCGGUCCAGAAAAUCCUCCUGAGCCCAAGGAUGGGGAAGUGGUCGUGUUUGUCGAUCACCUGAGCCGAGGGUUUAGCCCUCCCGGAUCAAUGUUCUUUCGAGAUGUACUUGCUAGCUUUCAACUCCACCUUCAAGACAUUGGCCCAAACUCUGUGUCCAAUGUUUGCCAUUUCCAAGUAUUUUGCGAGGCUUAUCUUCAAGAGGAGCCCACAGUUGAACUGUUUAUAGAUUUCUUCUACUUAAACCGUCGCACAGAGUUCACAGACGGACCCAACACCGAGCUUGGUGGAAUGGCGAUUCAAAAGAGGAAGGAUGUCAUCUUCCCUCACGCCAAGCUUCAUAGUCACCCCAAGGACUGGAUUCAGACUUGGUUUUAUUGCAAAGAUACAUCUCCGACUGAUGAAAAUCCUCUGCCGGGCUAUCGCCCUCACCGUCUUAGCAAUACACAUCCCUUUCCUCAGAGAUUGACUGCAAAGGAAAGGUCCAACUAUGCUCCACAACUGUCAAAGCUCAGAGCCUUUAUGGCGAACGGUUUAACAGGUGUUGAUUUCGCUCGCUGUUGGAUAAACUGGAGCAUUCUGCCCUUAAGCCGGCGCCCCGGUUUGAUGUGUGAAUACACAGGGAGUUUGACCGACCCUGAAAAACAUGUUAAUAUUCAGCUAACAGAGGCUGAAGUUACUGAGGCUGUCAAGAAAAUAUUGAAUGAACUGGAGGCUGUCUGUGGCCAGACCGGAUUAAAUCCUUUCUGCGUUUCCAAUAAAUUUCCAACUGUAAGAAUCAUAUAACUUUUUGUUUUAACUUUCUCCUUUUAAAUAUUCUCUCAAAAUCUUAACCAUCUUUGACAGGGUGAUGACCCGUUCUGGAAGAAAAAACCAUAGGAUAAACCGGCAAAAACACCUCGCCCAAAGACCAAGGUUACCAAAAAGCCUUCCAAGAAGAGGACCACUGCAUCUUCCGAACCAAAUGCUGAUGCUGACGAGGCUAAUCCGGACUCAGUGGUAGAACUUGACUCUCUUGGUUCAUUUUUCAUACACCUCAUUGACAAUGACUAUUACCAGGACGACGUUGAAGGCAGCCAAGCUGAGGACGCAGAGGUAAUUAUUCUUUCCUCCGGUUCAGAUCCUCUGCCAACACAGACAAACCGUCAAGAAAACCGGAAAGUAAAAUUUUCUCACCCCCUUGCUCACUUGGACCCCAACUUUCUUUUGAAGAAGCAGCAACACGAAGCCCGCCGCACAACCCGGCAUAGCGGCCAGGUAGUUACCUCCGCCGGUUUACCGAACACUCACGUCCGAAAUCGUCGAUCAAAGGUCUCUUAUAUUACUGAUGCUUCUUGCCCCAAGGCGGGUUGUUUCCGUCAGCCUCUUAACCCGUCUGAUUCAAAUUACCAGGGCAUGCCUCACUCAUCCUUUGGCGAGUCAUCGGCCACACAGCUUCCACCCCUCAAGACAGUUCCUGGGUGAGACAUAUUUUUAAAUUGAUUUUCCAUGCCUUAUAUUUACACAAUGUAUUGACCUUGAUAUUUGCUCUUCUCAGUGCCAAGCCAAGGCCCAGCAAAAAGGCUCGGUUAAAUAAACCAUCAGACAAAAAUGUGGUUAUUGAACCGGAGAGAACUCCAGAUCCGGUAGAGACCAAUGCUGAUGUUCUGCUUGAUGAUCCACCUCCUCAAGACAAUGACUUUUUUGUUGAACAAGUAGAAGUUGCUCCAGCAAGUCAGUCCAAUAAACCGACAAGCCCGGUCCGAGAUACUGAUAAACCAGCAAGCCCAGCUAAGGCUACUGAUAAACCGUCAACUCCAGUGAAGGCUGCUGGUGACAAGGAAGAUGACAUCAUGAUUACUGGCUUUGGCCACACUGCCCCUGGCAAUCCUGUCGCUUUAUCCAAGCAUAGUGCCAAGGAUGAACUUUCUGCUAUGGGCAAAGGCAAGUGGAACACAGACUUGUCAAGCUACGCCCAUGUCAACGCCCAAGACAUUCACCCUGGCUUCUUGAACCGUCUGUACACAAGCCGCGACUAUGAAGCCGGCUUUGUAAACUUGAUGAAAGAGAGAUAUGAGGUAACUAGUGCUUAACUUUGCAUAACUGUUUCUCUCUUAUUUCCAAUUUCAUAAUGUCAACUCCAGUAGCCCCCAAGGGCCGUUUUUUUAAAGAUGAACCGGCACUUUAGAAUCGUAAUACUGCAUCUUUCGCUGGUGUAGUCCCCAAGGGCCGGUUUAUCUUUUAAAGGUAAACCCGGACUGUAGAAGAAAACCCAUAAUGUUACUUUGAACAAUCAUACAUUAGCCCCCAAGUGUCAAGAAUAAUACUUGUAUUGUGCUUGAGACUUGUAGAAAUUUCUGAUAAUGAGCAAAUAGGCAUUAGCCCCCAAGUAUCAGGUGCACAACUUGUUAUGUGCUUGGUACUUCAAAUAUGUACUGCCAACUCAUGAUAUGUCUGUCUCUUAUAGGCUGAGCUGAGCAAAAAGGAAGCUCAAAACAAUGAUUUGCAAGAAAACAUCAAGUCCCAGCUAGCAGAAACCUCCAAAGCAAAAGAUGAGCUGACCAGUGCCUUAGCCGCCAUGGAAAAGCUGGAGGAGGGUUUCAACAAGGAACAUGCGGAUUGGGCCAUAGAAAAAUCCACACUACAGAAAAGAGCCGAGGAUGCAGAAGCAGCUCUUAAACCGGUGGUAGACGAGCUGACUGGUGUAAAGCGGCAAAUACAUGCCAUGACUCGUGCUGUGUUUGGUAAAUAUCCUGGCUGUAAGUUUUCACAUAUCAUCCCAUUCAUUGCCGGUUUACUGAUGUUUGUAAUGAUGCAGGAACUCGCAUUAGUCAUCUAGGCUCUGACGUAGAAAAAAAGCUGAAGGCUGCCUAUACUCUUAUAGAGCAGUUAUAUGCUGGUGCGCAACAGAUCAUUUGCGCUGCUUCUCACAACAAGCCGCCCCAACCUUAAUUAAGGAGACCUUAGAAAGGUUGUCGAUGCUGCCUGCCCGGGUAGAAGAGCUGAAAAGAUCUGCUGCGAGGGCUGGUGCUCUGACCGCGCUAACCCGGGCAAAAGCGUGGGUGCCUGAUCUUGAUCCGGUGGACAUGGGUAAAGGUUAUCCGAGCUUAAAAGAAGACGGAUCAGAAUUUGGCAAUGAUGACCUUCGAGCUAUAAACCAGGAAGUACGUCCACUGGCUUGCCAAUUGGCUGAAGAAGCUGAUCUUUCACAUUAUCAGGCGAGUUAUGACGUCAACAACAAACGGGUUGCUGCACCAACUCCUGAAGCCCAAAAUCUUAUCCCGCCAAUUCGUAGGCACACCUAUGCCCCUGUCAUUGAACCGUCCACCCUUAUAAGCGACGAAGCUGUGUUCCAAGCCCUAACUGGGAUCAACUGGGCAACUAUUGACUUCCAGCCGCUGGGUAGAGAUGAGGAGGAUGAACCGGUGCAAGAUGACCGCAGCCGUCAAGCCAACCUGGUGACGAAUAGGCCGGGUUAGCCUGCUGUGAACCGCAAUACUUGCUGAAAAAACAAUUAUUCUUUUGGGCACUGAAAUGCCUUGUAAUAGGCUAGUUCAAAAACUUGGUCUGUUAUGCCUUCGUGCAUAUUUACUUUGCUUGAUACUUGUUAAUUUGCCAUGCUUAAGAUAUAUGAUAUUCAUAAUCCGUAGCUGCUCCUGCAUACAAAAAGUUGGAAAGUGUCCUGGCGGUUUACCGCCGGACGGGUCAUGAUGCCCAGAUAUAUAGCCAAGGUUUAUAACCAAGGCUGUAAGAAGAUAAUCAAAUAUGUAAAUAAAUGAUACCUGAGACCUUGAAUCACAAUGUUGGUUGACCAACUUUUAUAGUGAGGGUGAUGACCCCAAUCUUGAGUAAGGAUAACUCCUUUCAUACUGUGCCGGUUUAUGAUAAAACCGUACCGGGUUGUGAUAAACACCGGUUUAUCCAUAUUCAAUACUGGCGACUUAGAGUUGAAACCAGACUGGGUUAAUAAACUCCGGAUUACAAGUGAUCAUGUACUGACCACUUAGUAGUUGAAAACCGAACCGGGUUAAUGAAUGCCGGUUUAUCAAAAACAUCAUAAAUCUCAUCAAAGGAGAAAAACUUCGCAAAUAAAAGCAUAUGAAAACUUGUAGUCGAGGCUUUUCACGGGCUGCCCGGCCCCAAAUUCGAGGCUUUUCAUGGGCUGCCAGGCCACUGAGUUAAUCCAUUUUACAAAGCCUUUUAAGAUGGACCUCAAUCUUUAACCAAUCAUCGUUUUAACUUUGACAAGUUCAGGGUCUUAUGAGAUUGACUUGUCAAAGUUUGCCGGGUCAUACCAGGUUUACCUGGACGGAGUGACUUACUUAAAAAAGGCAGGCUAACCCGGGGUUUUAGGUGUAUACACCAGGCUUCCAAGCCGUGGCUUGAUAGCCUAUUACAAGUGUAGAUUCUUUGUUCAUUGCGAUAGCAAAGAAUCCCCAAGUAAUAUUUUGAGCUGUGCUCCGCGGGUGCCUAUGUUUGAGUUGUUCUUUUGCAACACUCUCUUUGGCCCCUAAGUAAUUUUCUGGUGUAGCUAUGGUUUGGACACGACCAAGCGCCCAAGCGAUUUUUCUGGUGGCCUCGCGCCGAUCAAGAGGUGUAGCUAUGGUUCGAGUACGACCAAGCCCCCAAGUGAUUUUUCUGGUGGCCUUGCGCCGAUCAAGAGGUGUAGCUAUGGUUCGAGUACGACCAAGCCCCCAAGUGAUUUUUAUAUAAGGCCUUAUGAGCUGAAUCAAGGGGUAAACCGGACGCCGUUUUAUAAACAGAAGCCCCCAUGUAACCACACAUGAUGUAAGAAAAACAACAGAUACCCUGCUUUAGCUGAGGCUCCGAUUUAUUAUAUUGAUCAUAAUAUAUACAUUGUCAUAACUAUGUACAUGAGCAGAGCCUGUGGCACAAGUAUAGUAGGGCCGAAGAUGAGCGAUAUUCCACGGCCGGUGGGUCUCCUCCUCCGAUUUACGUGAGUCUUUGUGCUCUCGAACAUCUAUAAGGUAGUAUGACCCGUUAUGCAGAUUCUUGCUGACCACAAAGGGUCCUUCCUAAGGCGGGGAUAACUUGUGCAUAUCAGUCUAAUCCUGGAUGAGUCGGAGCACCAGAUCGCCUUCUUGGAAAGUUCUGGUUCUAACUCGGCGGCUGUGAUAACGACGCAGAUCCUGCUGAUAAAUCGCCGAACGGGCUGCUGCAAUGUCACGCUCCUCAUCUAACAGGUCAAGUGCUUCCUGUCGUGCCUUCUCAUUGUCAGCUUCGACGUACGCCGCCACACGAGGCGAGUCAUGACGGAUGUCACUAGGGAGAACCGCCUCCGCUCCAUAAACCAUGAAAAAAGGCGUGUAACCCAUGGAUCUGUUGGGCGUGGUAUUGAUGCUCCACAACACAGAAGGUAACUCUUCCACCCAACAACCCGGCGUCCGUUGCAAAGGAACCAUAAGUCGGGGUUUGAUGCCUCUCAAGAUCUCUUGAUUGGGUCGCUCCGCUUGACCAUUAGACUGGGGUGAGCCACUGAUGAUACAUCAAGCCAGAUGUGCUCACGUUGACAGAACUCCUUCAUAGCACCUUUGGACAGAUUGGUACAAUUAUCAGUUAUAAUGCUGUGUGGAAAGCCAAACCGCAAAAUCACCUUCUUAAUGAAUUGAACCGCCGUAGCUGCAUCACACUUACUGACUGGGUCUGCCUCCACCCAUUUAGUGAACUUGUCAACCGCCACCAAAAGGUUGGUCUUCUUGUCCUUGUAUCUCUUAAACGGCCCAACCAUAUCCAGCCCCCAGGUUGCAAACGACCAAGUGAUUGGAAUCAUCCGUAAUUCCUGGGCCGGAACGUGAGCUCGACGUGAAAAUUUCUGACAACCGUCGCACUUUUUCACCAAGUCUUCUGCAUCAGCAUGAGCCGUCAGCCAAUAGAAGCCAUUACGAAAAGCUUUAGCUACCAGGGACUUUGAACCGGCGUGGUGACCACAAUCUCCUUCAUGGAUCUCACGCAAAAUCUCACAGCCUUCUUCAGGAGACACGCAACGCUGAAACGCCCCUGUCACACUGCAAUGAUGUAACUCUCCAUUGAUAAUAGUCAUGGACUUGGACCACCGGAUUAUCUGCCGGGCCAAGGUUUCACCCUCCGGUAAUUCGCCCCGGUUCAUAUACGCCAAGUACGGGACCGUCCAAUCCGGGAUAACAUGAAGAGCCGCCACCAACUGAGCCUCCGGAUCAGGAACAGCCAAAUCCUCUUCUGUGGGGAGCUUGACGGACGGAUUAUGCAGAACCUCCAGGAAGACAUUGGGCGGAACUGGUUUACGUUAGAACCCAAACGGCUUAAAGCGUCCGCUGCUUCAUUCUUCCGUAGGUCCACAUGAUCGACCUGAUAACCUUUGAAAUGACCUGCAACAAUGUCCACCUCUCGACGAUAUGCUGCCAUGAGUGGGUCCUUGGAAUCCCAAGUACCAGACACUUGUUGAGCCACCAGGUCCGAGUCACCGAAGCACUUAACCCGGCUUAAAUUCAUCUCCUUAGCCAUCCAAAGACCGUGGAGUAAAGCCUCAUAUUUAGCUGCAUUGUUAGUGCAAGGGAACAUUAAACGGAGAACAUAACAAAACCUAUCACCUCGUGGGGAAGUUAGCAUGACUCCAGCCCCGAGGCCUCCAAUUGCCUGGAGCCAUCAAAAUGAAUAGUCCAAUAAGUAUGAUCUGGCUUCUCUUCUGGCGCCUGUAACUCUGUCCAGUCAUUGAUGAAGUCUACAAGUGCCUGAGACUUGACCGCCGUCCGGGGCACAUAUUUUAAUCCAUGAGGCCCAAGCUCCAUAGCCCACUUGGCGACCCGGCCAGUUGCUUCCCUGUUCUGGAUUAUAUCCCCCAAAGGAGCAGAGCUGACAAUGGUGAUGGGAUGACCUUGGAAAUAUUGCUUAAGCUUCCGGCUCACCAUAAAAACUCCAUACACCAGUUUCUGCCAAUGCUGGUACCUUUGCUUGGACUCAAUAAGUACUUCACUGAUGUAAUAAACCGGCCGUUGAACCGGAUACUCCUUUCCGGCCUCCUUGCGCUCCACCACAAUAGCCACGCUAACAGCCCGGGAGUUAGCUGCCACAUAUAAAAACAACGGCUCUUUAUCAACAGGAGCAGCAGGACCGGCGGAUUAGCCAGCUGCCGCUUUAAGUAUUCAAAUGCUUCAUUGGCGGCGUCACUCUAGACGAAGUCAUCCGUCUUCUUCAGCAUCUGAUAUAAAGGGAUAGCCUUCUCACCAAGGCGACAGAUAAACCGGCUCAAAGCGGCAAUCUGGCCUGCCAGGCGUUGAACAUCAUUGAUACACUUCGGUUUAGCCAAAGAAGUUAUAGCCUUGAUUUUCUCCGGAUUAGCUUCAAUGCCCCUGUUAGAUACAAGAAAGCCCAAGAGCUUGCCUGCCGGUACACCAAAGACACACUUGGCCGGAUUAAGCAUCAUUUUAUAAACCCGGAGGUUAUCAAAGGUCUCUUUCAAGUCAUCGAUCAAUGUUUCCUCCUUUCUGGAUUUCACCACAAUAUCAUCCACAUAAGCAUGAACAUUGCGACCGAUCUGAUUAUGAAGACAAUUCAGCACACAGCGUUGAUAAGUCGCCUGGGCACUCUUGAGCCCAAAAGGCAUAGAUACAUAACAGAAUGCUCCAAAGGGAGUUAUGAAAGCUGUCUUCUCCUGGUCCUUAGCUGCCAUUUUGAUCUGAUGAUAACCAGAAUAAGCAUCCAGAAAACUUAAACGCUCGCAACCCGCCGUAGCAUCAAUGAUUUGAUCAAUACGAGGGAGGGCAAAAGGAUCCGCUGGACAAGCCUUGUUUGAAUCUAUGUAGUCCACACACAUACGCCAAGUGCCUGAUACGUCUCCAACGUAUCUAUAAUUUUUUAUUGCUCCAUGCUAUAUUAUUUUCUGUUUUCGACAUUAUUGGGCUUUAUUAUUCACUUUUAUAUUAUUUUUGGGACUAACCUAUUAACCGGAGGCCCAGCCCAGAAUUGCUGUUUUUGCCUAUUUCAGAGUUUCGCAGAAAAAGAAUAUCAAACGGAGUCCAAACGGAAUGAAACCUUCGGGAACAUGAUUUUUGGAACGAACAUGAUCCAGAGGACUUGGAUCCUACGUCAAGAAAGCCACCAGGAAGCCACGAGGUAGGGGGGCGCGCCUACCCCCCCUCGGCGCGCCCUCCACACUCGUGGGCCCCACGUUGCUCCACCGACGUACUCCUUCCUCCUAUAUAUACCUACGUACCCCCAAACGAUCAGAUACAGAGCCAAAAACCUAAUUCCAC